UGGGGAAUUUUGGACAAUGGGCGAAAGCCUGAUCCAGCAAUGCCGCGUGUGUGAAGAAGGCCCUUCGGGUUGUAAAGCACUUUUGUCCGGAAAGAAAUCCUUGGCUCUAAUACAGUCGGGGGAUGACGGUACCGGAAGAAUAAGCACCGGCUAACUACGUGCCAGCAGCCGCGGUAAUACGUAGGGUGCAAGCGUUAAUCGGAAUUACUGGGCGUAAAGCGUGCGCAGGCGGUUUGCUAAGACCGAUGUGAAAUCCCCGGGCUCAACCUGGGAACUGCAUUGGUGACUGGCAGGCUAGAGUAUGGCAGAGGGGGGUAGAAUUCCACGUGUAGCAGUGAAAUGCGUAGAGAUGUGGAGGAAUACCGAUGGCGAAGGCAGCCCCCUGGGCCAAAUACUGACGCUCAUGCACGAAAGCGUGGGGGAGCAAACAGGAUUAGAUACCCUGGUAGUCCACGCCCUAAACGAUGUCAACUAGUUGUUGGGGA
rnacentral:rRNA from 1 species